rnacentral:rRNA from 1 species
AACGCGAAGAACCUUACCUGGAUUUGACAUCUCCUGACAUCCCUAGAGAUAGGGCUUCUGUAGCAAUACAGCAGGAAGACAGGUGCUGCAUGGCUGUCGUCAGCUCGUGUGGUGACAUGUUGGGUUAAGUCCCGCAACGAGCGCAACCCUUGUCUUUAGUUGCCAGCAUUCAGUUGGGCACUCUAAAGAGACUGCCGUGGUGAACACGGAGGAAGGUGGGGAUGACGUCAAGUCCUCAUGGCCUUUAUAUCCAGGGCGACACACGUGAUACAAUGGUCGGUACAGAGGGAAGCAAAGCCGCGAGGCCAAGCCAAUCUCAAAAAGCCGAUCUCAGUUCGGAUUGGAGUCUGCAACUCGACUCCAUGAAGUUGGAAUCGCUAGUAAUCGCGGAUCAGCACGCCGCGGUGAAUACGUUCCCGGGCCUUGUACACACCGAGACGAC